UACAGAGGUCUCAAGCGUUGUUCGGAUUCAUUGGGCGUAAAGGGUGCGUAGGCGGCGCGGUAAGUCGGAUGUGAAAUCUCGGAGCUUAACUCCGAAACUGCAUUCGAUACUGCCGUGCUUGAGGACUGGAGAGGAGACUGGAAUUUACGGUGUAGCGGUGAAAUGCGUAGAUAUCGUAAGGAAGACCAGUGGCGAAGGCGGGUCUCUGGACAGUUCCUGACGCUGAAGUGCGAAAGCUAGGGGAGCGAACGGG
rnacentral:rRNA from 1 species